rnacentral:rRNA from 1 species
AUGAUUGAUGAUGAGGCUAACUUUGACGACAUCAUUGAUGCCCCUGCAGAAGUGGAAGCUGCUGCAAAGUUUCAUCCUAAUAAGCUGCGGGGCAAGCUUUGGAAGAAAUCUGUGCCAUCAAGAUCUGUUGUACCCAAUCGUACAGUGGAAACAAGUGAUGAGAAGGCUCUAGCUUUAAGUCAAGAUAAUUUGUCUCAAGGACUUGUUACGAAUCAAGGAAUAGCAUCUUCGGCCGUUCUUGGUAGUGAAACGAUUGGUGGUGCGGAAGCUUGUGGGGGCACUAUUUACACACCUUCUGAUGAUGUGCUGGCAGUUUCUUCUGUAGAUAGGGUUUCACAAAAUGACGAUCCUCAUGAUGAUCCAUCUGAAGUAGCUACGCUCCAAGAAAACUUGGUUGUUUCAGAGACCCAAGCAUCAUCCACCCAUCCAACUAGCAAGACAGUUGAUGAUUUAGCUGACUUUGGGGAACUAUUUGACACACAUUCUGAAGAGGAAAACGUUGCAAAGUCCAAGCUAAAAAUUAAGGUGAAACUCAGCAAGGCAGCAUCCAAGUCCCGAAAGACUGGCCAAAAGAAGGCAGCUUCAACUGUAGACGUGGUCUCACAAAAUAAAGAGGAUGGUAACGAUGAUGUCAGAGGAUGCAACGAUGAGCAGGCACAAGCUCCUAGACAUGAAGAAUAUGUACAGACCUCAGAUUCUCAGCCACCCUUGGGAACUGAUGAUGGUACAGUUGACAAUUUCGUUAACCACAUCCGCAUCCUUGAAGAGCCUGGUCCAGAGGAAACGGCUGCAAAGUUACGCCCUAAAUCACAAAGAAAACCUGGCAGGGCUUCAUCCAAGGCUGUUGGGACUAGUGAUGAUUAUGCAGCAGCUAAUCUAAAGGAUAUCAAUGCUAGUGUUGAUAUAGACUCUCAAGAUGGGCUGAUAAAUCCUCAUACUGAUGAUACUCAACCUAUCUUUGGAGAACCCUCAGCUGAAGCUGCUGCUACAUUUCUACUUGAUCUUGGAAAGAAAAAGGGCAAAGGCAAAUCAGUAACAUUUAUUCUACCAGAUGAUUAUGAGGGGGUCGCUGCAACAGAUACCAACCAUAAUGACAUAGGAUCUGAUGAAAAUUUGAACACCUUGCCUCAGCAAGCACCUCAAAAGCAUUGUCUUACUGAAGAACAUUCAGACGAUCAGGAAUAUACUGAUAGGGAGAGCCAGUACUAUGAGGGGGAGCGAUCAGAUCAUGGUGUUGAACAACAAUCCAAAUUGGAUGUUGGAAAACAAGAAUUAUCAAUGAAGUUGAGAAGCAGGACAGAGAUUCAGAAGGUUGGGUUAUCUGAGCAUAUUGUUGACGAUCAUCUUGAUGAAGAUUUUGUUGAACCUUCAGCAGCCGAACAAAAUAAUGAUAGUGGCGACGAGAACACUGCUGGAGGAAAGCAGAAGGCACCAAGAAAGUCAAGGAAGAAAGAUCCAAAUAAAGAACCUUUGAGGGGUUCCAAGCGCACCUCGACGAAAUCCACUUCGGAAAAAUCACAGCCGAACCAGCAGAAAAAUAAAAGUGAAGUAUCGUCACGCGGUCGUAAGAGAGCCUUGAAAGAUACAAUGACAGAACAGCCUGAGAAGAAGCUUACUCACAGAAUUCGUCAAAAAAGAGCUCAAGAAGUGCAAACGUUACUUCAAAAACCUGAUCAUGAGAUAGAUCGCAUGAAGCUAAGUGUGACGCAUCUCAGGUUGUUACAAGAGGCCAGAGAGCGUAUUCAGAGUAAAACACCGUCAGGACCAUCAUCCUCUAAUCAAAGCAGCUCCCGUUUUGGAGAUACUGACGAUUUUGAUCCUUUUGGAGAUAACUAUGACAAUGACAGAACAGAGAAUCAGGCGCUAGAAAAUGCUACUAAACUGAAUUACCAUUCUUAUAUGGACAAAAAGACACGGGCCAAAUGGACAAAAUCUGACACUGACUUGUUUUACCAGGGUCUUCAACAAUUUGGUAGCGAUUUUGCAAUGAUACAGCAACUAUUCCCAGAUAAGUCCCGUGAUCAGGUACGGCAAAAGUUUAAAAGUGAGGACAAAAAGCAUCCAAUGCAAGUCCACGAUGCUAUACUUCAUCGCUCGAGAGAUAACUUGUAUUUAAAACAAGUAAUGAAACAGCUCAACAUUGAAGAUUCGCUCAAAGACAUCAACAUUACACAAAAACAAGAGGUUGCACCAACUGAAGGGAACACUGGAAAUGAUGUUAUUUCUGAAACUAACACGUUCAGUGUUGAGAACGUUUCAAAUUUGUCAGAUGAAGAAAUGGGCACGCACCAAUCUGAGGUCAAAGAAGGGGAGGAUGUUGCUGGAAAUGCUGAUGAUGUUGACCUGGAUGUUUUUGAUUGGUACUAG